rnacentral:rRNA from 1 species
UACGUAGGGCGCAAGCGUUGUCCGGAUUUAUUGGGCGUAAAGAGCUCGUAGGUGGUUUGUCGCGUUGUUCGUGAAAACUCACAGCUCAACUGUGGGCGUGCGGGCGAUACGGGCAGACUUGAGUACUGCAGGGGAGACUGGAAUUCCUGGUGUAGCGGUGGAAUGCGCAGAUAUCAGGAGGAACACCGAUGGCGAAGGCAGGUCUCUGGGCCACUACUGACGCUGAGAAGCGAAAGCAUGGGGAGCGAACAGG